CUUGAACAGUCUUCCAACUUCCUCUUUCUUGUCUUUCUCGACGAAGAGCCGUCGUAAUUUGAACGGAAUAAGUCCCGUAACUUCCCAUAACUUCCGAUGUUCCACCUAGACAGUGUUCAGUACGUUACGCUGUGGAAACAAAGAGAAUAUACGGUAAAAUCCAAACUUUGGAACUGUAUGUUAUCCUUAUUCCUUAUGUUUCUUAUAUUUGAUAUAACAAAAUGGUAUAACAAGUUAUAUGUGUACAUAAAAAGGAUGGUGUACAUGCUCUUGAAAAUUCCUUGUUACUUACCUUUGCGAGAGUCAUAAGACUCUCCUUAUAGACUGUACCACGCCCACCGGGUGGGUGGGGAUAAUACUCGCCUCCGUGUCAUUAAUAAAAUCAUGACUUUACGUCAUGUUACUAGUAAAAUCUUGGAAUUUUAUUAAUGACACGGAGGCUCAUAUUAUGCUAGUUCAAAGCUUGGCCACUACUUGAAGAGAGAUAUGUUCAAUUGGCCGAAAAUAGAAUUCUCUGAACGUCGAUACUUGCGACCAAUCAGCCGCCUUUACUAUGUCCUCGAGGCAACAGCCAAUCGUUGAUGCCUUGGAUGCCAUCGCGCCUCUCACCGAGUGUGCAGAGAAUUUCGAGGUGUCAAUUCCUGUUAGUGCUAACAGGUUCUUGACCCAACGAGCUAACGUGGGCGUGGACACUGGUAGAAAAGGGGUUCGAAAAGAUAUAAAUAAUUGACUUGAUUCAGGUGUGCGUAAUUUCUGAGUACGAUCCAGGUAGGACCGAAGGCAUCUGACCGGGCAUAGUGAAGGAUGUCCUGGGUAUCUCGGGUAAGAGAUAGAUUUUGUAUUGCCUUUAGUUCGUCUCGAUAUGGAGAAUGAUACGCCCUCUGGGGUGAAUGACAAUGCGUCCCAGUCCAAGGCUCGCACGUCCGAUAUCCUCUUGCAGGACAGUAGGCAUAACAGAGUCAGCAGUUUCCAAGACAGGUGUUUAAGGGAGAGUUCCUCAUUUGGUAUCCAUUCUUCCAGGAAGUGUAAGACAAUGUUGACAUCCCAGAAUGAAGAAUAGCGGGUUUGUGUAUCCCCUUUAGGAGUCUACAAACGAAGGGGUGCUGUCCAAUCGGGGAGCCCUCCAGGUCUCGGUGUCCUGCCGAGAUGCCCGACCUGUACACGUUAAUGGUACGGUACGCUUUUCCUUCUUCGAAAAGGGACGUCAAAAACUCUAGUACUUCUUUCAGAGAUGCUGAAACCGGAUCCACUGACCGUUCCAUGCACCAGCUAGCCCACACUCGCCAUGCAGAGUUAUAGGCCGCUCUGGUCCCUGGAGCCCAGGAGUUGUCCAUGAGUCUUGUAACCGUCUGUGGAAUGUCUGUGAAUGUCCAGGGACUCCGGAAAUCAACCAGACUGUGAGUUGCAGCAGGCCCUGAUUGAUUAGGUUGUGCGGAUUCCCCUCCGGGUCCAAUAGCAAGUCUGGUCUUGAUGGUAUUAUUCGUGGAGAGUCGAUUGCCAUUUCUAGUAGUCGAGGAAACCACGGCUGAGCGUGCCAUAGUGGAACCACUAUCACUAGUGAACAGUCCUGUGUGCAUAGGUAUGAUAGUGUCCUGGAUAUGAGAUUGAAAGGGGGAAAUGCGUAAUGCAGAGACUUCGGCCAUGUCUGUAGGAAAGCAUCCGUCCCCGAGGCUGUUGGAUCUGGUCGCCAGCUGAAGUAUCGAGGCAGGUGACUGUUCAGUCUGGAUGCAAAGAGGUCUACGUCUAGUGGUCUCCACAACUCGUCUACCUGGCAAAAGGUAGAGCGGAGAAGACGCCAGUCUCCCGGAUCUCGCAGAUAUCUGGAAUUCCAGUCUGCUUGUACAUUGUCCAAGCCCGGAAUGUGUUCGGCUGUCACCGCAAUCUCGUUCUGAAGGCAAAACUGCCAAAAUUCCUUCGCUAGGUUUGCUAGUCGUUUGGAUUUGGUGCCUCCUAGAUGAUUGAUAUAACGGACUGCCGAGAUGUUGUCCAUACGGAGCAGUAUACAACAUCUCCCUACCGUAGGGGAGAGACUGCGGAUGGCGAACGAUCCUGCCAGAAGUUCCAGGCAAUUUAUGUGCAGUGUGGAUUCCUCCAUGGACCAUCUGCUACCGGUGGAUAUGUUGCCACAACGCGCGCCCCAGCCAUGGAGGCUUGCAUCCGAUUCUAUAAUCAGGUCCGGGCUGGUUCCGAAUAUUGCUCGGCCGUUCCACGCCUCCAUAUGGUCUAGCCACCAACCCAGCUCUUCCCGUGAUUCUACAUCCAGGACUAGUGCGGAUUCGUAGGAAUGGCCGGACCUGAGGUGAGAGCCUUUUAGCCAUUGUAGGGCACGGUAGUGUAGGGGCCCUGGGAAGAUGGCUUGUAUUGAGGAAGCCAGUAGUCCUAAUACUCGGGCUAGUUGUCGAAUAGAGAGGAAUUGAGCUCGUAACGUGCGUCUGAUCUCUUUUUUGAUGGCCUUCAAUUUCGUUUCCGGGAGGAGUAAGAAUUGUGAGAUUGCGUCGAUCUGGAAUCCCAGGAACUCUAUCUUUUGGACUGGAUUGGUUAUGGAUUUCUCCCAAUUUAUCAAAAAACCCAGAGUCUCGAGUAACGUGAUGGUCCACUGUAGGUGGUGCAGUACUUGGUCUUGUGAGGAUGCCAUGAUUAAAAUAUCGUCUAGAUAUAUGAUCAUACGAACUCCUCGUGCUCUGAGAAAAGCUACCACUGGCUUCAUGAGUUUCGUGAAGCACCAGGGCGCUGACGACAAACCGAAGGGCAGACAUGUAAAUCUCCAACGUCGUCCUUGCCAUGUAAAAUGCAAGAGGUCCCAGUGUGCCUCUGCA